UGGUGAUGAUGGGGAAAAUUCAGCAACCACAUUUUAAAUCGCUCCCAUGCUUGGGGCAAUUCUUCACCUUCCUUCUAUCUAAAAUCCAAGAUCUCGCUCCUCAAUUU
rfam:Solanum lycopersicum cultivar Heinz 1706 chromosome 1, whole genome shotgun sequence.